rnacentral:rRNA from 1 species
UGACCGCGUAUGAAAGUACGUUUCACCUCGGGUGACAGGGAGACAGGUGGUGGCAUGGUUGUCGUCAGCUCGUGUCGUGAGAUGUUGGGUUAAGUCCCGCAACGAGCGCAACCCCUACGUUUAGUUGCUAACGCGUGAAGGCGAGCACUCUAGACGAACUGCCGUUGACAAAACGGAGGAAGGUGGGAUGACGUCAAAUCAUCAUGCCCCUUAUGUUCUGGGCUACACACGUGCUACAAUGGCCGGUACAGACGGACGCAAAGCCGCGAGGUGGAGCAAAUCCUAAAAAGCCGGUCUCAGUUCGGAUUGCAGGCUGCAAUUCGCCUGCAUGAAGUCGGAAUCGCUAGUAAUCGCAGGUCAGCAUACUCGCGGUCGAAUACGUUCCGGGCCUU